rnacentral:lncRNA from 1 species
CUUCUCUGCUCUCCUCUCUUCUCGCUGCCAUAGCAGCAAUGAAAACAACAUCCAGGCGAGGCAAACAGCGGCUCCAGCGAGGCCAGCAGUCGUUGGCCGCCUCUGCUUCUCUCCUCUCUUUUCUCUGGCGAAAACAACAAACAACAACUCCAGUAGCUCCGACCGGCGAAGCAGCAGCUCGGUGAGAAAAUAGCAGCAACAACUGCUCCGUCCAGCAGCGACGAACGACAACGACAGCAGUUCCAACCAGCAACUAGGCGAGCUCCGAAGAAAGCGAACUCCGGCAAACAUUUGAAGUUUUUCUUUUGAGUUUUAAGACGAAUCUUUGACAGAUCCGUCUGAGUAAGUUUAUUUUAUUCAUUUUAACACUUUGUUCUUGAUUUUAAAAUAUGGUGAGUUUAUAACAUGUCAUCAUGUGCUUAUAUUUCUUGUUGAUUCUUAGAAAGCAUGUUUAGGUUGCAAUUCUCGGUCAAACUCUUGCUCAUCGUUUCUAUUAUGAUCUGUUAGGCUUCGAAUCGUGAAGUUUUAGCACACUUGCUGCAUUUAAGUCUACUCUAACCGACAAUUUGCACAUUCUCUGUGUUGAUAUAGUAAAGUCAUUAGUUUAUGAAUUCCUUUGACUAAUUUCUAUAUGGUAAAAAAUCAUUUUUUUUUAGUCUUAAUUGAUUGAGAAUCACAUUUGUUCUUCCUUAGAUAAUUAUUCUUGAUUUUCCUCGAUAUUUUACAUUGCUGAUUUAUCCCCUUAAUAUAUGUGUAAUUGUGACUUGUUAAUUGUUUCCUCAUAUCUGUUAGGAUCUCUUAAAGUUGUUAACUUAGCUAAUUGCCUGGUCAAAUUGCUCAUCUACUGUGAUUUAAACUUUCGUAUACUGCUAACCUUCAUGACUUUGUGUAAUUAGUUUGGUGUAAUUUGCUCGACCCCUUACCUAUGGUAAGUCUGAAAUUAUGGUAAAGCAUGUAUUAUUUCUUUCCUUGUGCUGAUUUUAUAUUUAUUAAUUUAUAGUGCUGCAAAUUGAUCCCCCUCCCCUUAAUUAUGGUUUGAACUGAUUCUUACUACUCUAUUUUUAGAAAUCCCUACCGGUUUGGUGAAUAAUUUGGUUGAUUUCAGUUUUGCCCUAUAUUUGGUAAAAAAAAAAUUAAUAAAUUUGAUUUGGCUCUCCUUUGAAAUAAGGAAAAUAAUAUUAAUUGAUUUCCUUUAUUCCUUUUCCUUAUUUGCCCGUAUUUCAGUGACUAUAGAUAGGACUCCUCCCCUCAUUAUUUGAUCAUCUUGACUUCGCUCAUACUUGAAUACUAAAAAACAAAUAUUGCUCUCUAAUCUUAAAAGAAUUAAGAUUCCGAUAAACAUUCUAACUGCGGCUUUACUCGGUUUUUUGCUGUGUACGGGUCUAUUUGAAUUAAGUUCGUCUGCAUUGCUGAUAACUCUACUCUGGAUAAUCGGUUAGCUCUCCUUCAUUAGUUUAAAUUUCGUCUUGCAUCAUCUAUCAUGAUUAUCGUAUGUUUGUUGUAUGUUCGAAAACGAACAGAAGGAAGCAUCCAGGUCAGUUUCUUAUCCCUUUUGCUCUAUGUGCGAUUUUAUGCUACCCUUGAUUAGCCAGAAUGCGUGUAUGUCUGUUUUUCACCUAUAUGUUGAAAUAAGUAAUAUUAUGCGAGUAUUAUUGUCUUGGUGUAUUGUAUAUACUCGUAUCUUCUUCAGCAGGUUUGGACAUUUUGUUCAAGUUGAAGAGUCGCCUGUUAAGAGAUUUUCAUGGAGUUUUUAUUUUUGUUUUAAGUUAAUUUUGUUGUUGUUGGGUUUAUUCCUAUUCGGUUCUGUAAUAAUCUUGUAAUAACUCUCUAACUCUCUAGUACAUAUAUAUGAAAUAUUUGGGGGAUCGCCUAAGAGGGGAGUGGGAUUUAUGUGCUAAUUGCUUUACUUAUAUAUGUUGAGUCUAUUUGUGUUGUGAUAAUAACUAGCCCAUAAACUGUUUUAACAUGUUAGAUUAAAACAUAUUUUAUCACAUUCUAAAUAACUAAUGGAAUAAAUGUGCUACUUGCCUUAUCAACGCCUCAGAUUAUUAUGCAAGCAUGUUAGAAAAGAUUAAAUAAAUGAAUAAAUUGCAGAAUUAAUCUCAUUCAUUAACUUUGUUAAAAUCACCUACUUUCGAAUUAAAUUUGUUAAUAUUUCAUGUUAUUUGUAUCAUAUAUCAUCUCACCUAGUUUAACAAAUCUUGCAUGUCAGCAUGUAAUUGAGCAUGUCUAUAUUUAGAAUUAUACCUAUAGGAACUACUUCAACAUGUUAAAUAAGUAGUUGAUUUUAAUAAUACACUAGUUUCAGCAUGAUUGAUGAAUUUAAAAGGAGUAAAAUCUGAAUCUUUUAAGUACUGAUCUGCCUUAAUUGUUAUCUGUUAAUGCGAGCUUUAUUAAUAAUCUCCAACAUGUUCACACUUAGUUAUCAUGCCUAUAGGUUUUUCUGAAUAUUACUAUGAUUUUCAGCAUGUUCAUAUUUAGAAACUAUGCCUAUAGGAGCCAUGCAUACAACUUUUCAAUCGCCUAGAAAUCAUGUUCAUAGGCGUAAUCAAAUAAUUUCCAGCAUGUUAAAUAAUUGAAAUAAAACUAUGCACAUUUCCUGUCCACUGGUACAUAAUUUCUGCAAUGCAAUUAAUCUCUACAACGUAAAAUAAAGUAAAAAUGAUUUUCGGUAUGUUCAAAACUGAUUUAAAUCUGCUAUACACUUUGUUGUUCACCGAGAUAAGUCUGCUACGCAUAGCUUCUGCCACUUAAAAUAAUUUAGAUAGCCCUCUAAAAUGUUAAUAACAAAACAAAACUAACUUAUUUGCAUAUUUCCUGCACUAUGAGUGGUUAAUAUCUUCCCGCAUUUUAAGAGUUGAACCAGCAUAACAAUAUUUCCUGAACUAAAAUCUAAACUAUUGUUAACGAAAAUCUGCUUUUGUCUUGUUAUGCCACUUAAAAUUAAGUUUCUGCAUCUGCUACUUUCUGCCCCGAUUAAAUAUUGUUCGAAUUAAUUUCUGCACUGUUUUGCCACUUAAGAUAAGCUACUAAAUCAAUUUCUGCAUAUUAAUUAACAACUUUCUGCCACUCGAUCAUCUAAGACUUUAAAAUCAGCUCUAUGCGAGAUUGUUUAGUUGAAUUACUUUAGCCACUGUUUUCCUCAUAAUAUCCCUGCCUGCUCAAUUUACUGUCAAUACUUGCUCUUUGAUCAUAUGUCCACACACUUAGUAAUGAGACCUCUCACUAAUUACGUGUGUUUGCUAGCAUGCUAAUAAUAAAAUCUAGAGGCCAACAUGAGACUUUACAUGCUAAAUGAUCGUCCAACUUGUUUUGCUUGGUGUCUAGGAGGCCUAUUAGGAACAUUUAUUUUAUUUUUUUAGUCUAAAACCUCCUUAUUAAUAGUCCAAUGCCUCUUGAACAUUAAGUCAGGACGAUAAGCACCUUUUAGGACGAAAAGCAUGCGGUGGUGAGGUAGGGGUAGUUUAGGCCCUAUGGAGAUGAUGACAUUGCCUCGAGCCGUAAACGACAAACAUUUGUUUUGUCUGUCCCAAAAUAAAAGGCCGAGUGCUGAUUGGUAAAGUUGUCAGAGUCUCCCUUUCCUUCUCCCUUUUAUAUGUUUAUAAUAAUUAUAAUUAUUUGGGGUAGUUUAACAAAAAAUAAAAUUUGAUUAUUCUAUUUGAUUGUGCAAUUUAUGUCUUUUCGCUUAUCUUCAAUCCACCCAAAGCCCAAAACAGUUGUUAGGUCGUGCACCAAAACCCGUUUUGCAAAAAAAUGGGGCGCGGCAGGGGGUCUUGUCCCAACAUCCCUCUUUGUUUUAGAGGCUUCAAAAACAGUUAGUAGUUCAGUUGUCUUUACAUUUCAUUUCAUAUGUUAAGACUUGAGUUGCCAUUAUGGCCAAGUUGAAUGUUGACCUUUAAAACAUUCUAAGUUAUUUUACCAAGCUAUUUGAGUAAGUUCAUUUGAUCAUUGUAAUAAUGUUUAGAGUUUUCCGCUGAGUUAGUAAGCCAGGCCAAGGGUUCGCUUGAAGCUAGCAAUGGUCUUCGAGUGCUAGCCACGUCCAGGGUGUAGGCUCGGGGCGUGACACUGAGCCUGUCCAUUUACCAAUACUGAGUACCAAUUAUUUGCAAUAAUUCUCCAAAUUAAUCAACAACCACCACUGAAAAACCCAUCUUUCUUAAUACUUUCAUUAAAAAAACCAUGAUAUUCUAUCAUAAGCUUUUGUCAUCUCAAGCUUAAUGAUAAGAUUUGAUGGUUUUCCCCUUUUUGUGAUGUCAGAAGUAAAUUUCCUGAGUAAGCAAAACAUUUUCAAUAAUGUUUCUUUCCUUCACAAAACCUGACUGAUUAGAGGAGAUCAAUCUAGGUAGCACCAGUCCUAGCAUGUCAUGAAUAACCCUUGAGAUAACUUUGUUAACAAAGUUACUCAAACUUAUAGGUCGAAGAUCUAAAAAUGAGUGUAUAUCAUUCUUCCUAGGCAACAACACUAGAUUGGUAUGGGUGAUGAAUUUUGGGAGAGUAUUGCCUACAAAAAAGCUAUCCACCAUCCUAUAUAAAUCUGAUCCAAUAAUUUCCCAACACUUCUGAUAGAAAAGACCUGUGAAGACAUCAGAACCACUAGCACUGUCACCAUUAAGAUUAAAAACAGCUUUUUUAACCUCAUCCAUGGAUGGCAUAAUUCUAAUUAAAGCAUUAUUUUCUUCAGAAAUAACAUGUGGAAUGUGCCUGAGAAGAGAAAAAUAUUCGGCAUCCCUUUCCUGAGAGAACUGUUUCUAUAGAAUCUUAUAGCUUCAUCUUUUAUCAUCUACUUGUCCUCCGAAAGAACCCCUUGCUCAUUAUGAAUUUUGACAAAUGUAAUCUCUUCCUUCUUCCUUUCACUAGACUAUGAAAAAAUCUCGUAUUUCUUUCUCCCCUUUCAAACCAAGUAAAACCUGUUUUUUGCUUCCAAUAUUCUUCUUCAAAAAGUAAAUACUUUUUGAAUUCGGCUUGUGCUUUUUGCACCGCUGCUUUAUUUAAACUACUAGGAUCCUCCUCGAAUAACUUCUUUUGAUCUUGACAAUGUCCUCUCUAAUUAUUAAUUGCUUAAAAAUAUCAUCAUACACCUCUUUACUCCAUGAAGUAAGUUAAGAUUUCAGCUUCUUUAACUUCUCUUUGAAGCUAAAAAAUAGAUUAUCAAAAUCAUUAGCAGCACACCAGUUUUGUCUCACAACUUGUUUGAAAGACUCAUGUUCUACCCAAAAGUUAAGAAAUUUAAAAGGUUUACAAAUAUUCACCACAUGUUCUUCACAGUUUAGUAACAUAGGGGCAUGGUCUGAUCCAAUCCUAGAAAGAUGUUCAACCUCGGUAUGAUUAAACCAAUUUUGAAAUUCAUGGUUAAUUAACACUCUAUCCAGCCUUUCAAAAAUACAGUCUUCUGCAGCUCUACCAUUCCACCAUGUGAAAGGACUACCUCUAAAAGGCACUUUUGUGAGUCACAAUCUCCAAUACAAUUAGAAAAAUCAUCUACAUCUGCAGGUUGUACAACAAGACCUCCUAACUUCUCCUCGGCAUUUAGCACCACAUUGAAAUCCCCACCAAUAAUCCAUGGAAGACUCAUGGAAUUAUGCAACUGAUAAAUGUCUUCCCACAAAGCCCUUCUUUGCACACCAUCACAUUUUGCAUAGACAAGUGUUACGAAAAAAUCCUUAUUCAAAAUAGUAUCUUGAACCUUGAUAGUGAUAUGCUGCAUCCAAAAUAAAAUCAACUUGAAAACCUUCUUUGACAAAAAUCCAGAUUUUGCCAUUAAAAUUGGAUUUUGUAAAAUGCAUGCUUAAUCUCCGCCUAUAUUUGUUGAUUACACUAGCAUUUUUAAAAGGUUCCAUUAAAGCAAUAAAAUUGAAUUUAUGUGCUUUAUUAAGCAUUUGAACCCUUUGAAUAGCUUUUUGUGUCUUUACCGAUUUUAUAUUCCAAAAGAAGAAUUUCAUCAUUAAUCUUUGUUCUUCUGCAAGCCUCUUCUUGAACUUGUCCUAGUAGGCAAACUCCCCAUAGAAAUGCUACUAUUCUUCUCUUUUUUGCCAGAUUUGUUGCUUUUGAGAAAGACCUCCUCUCCAUUCUUAUUACUCUCAUCAAAUGACCCUUCUUUAGAAUUGGAAGAACCAUUCUGUUGUUGUACUUGUUGACCUUGAAUCAAAGGUGGUGCAUCGUCAUCUUCGAAAUUUUAAUCAACUGCAUCUGUACUGCUAGAUAGUUGUUGUAACUGAUAUUUUUACAUCUUAUGUGGUGCCUCACUUAUAGAAUGUGAAUCAACUUCCUCUGUGCUGCUAGAACAACUAUGUUGUUGAGAUUGUUUUGGAUGUGAUUGUGGUUGAGGAAUUCUUUCAACUAAUGAGUGUGAAACAAUGUCCAUUAGAACUUUCAAAGGAGAAAUUGUUGCAUUCUCUUGUGCAACAAUAAUUGGAUAUUCAACUACUGUCGGAUUACAUUUUUCAUUAUACUAUUCUUGACAUUGUUGUCCUGAUUGUUCUGUACUAUCUACCUUGUAGAUUGCAUUUUCAUUACUCGUCUCGAUGCUUUUAUCAUGGUGUUGCUGCUGGUUCUCCACAUUCUGCUUUGAGGUAACAUUAUCAAUUAUUAGCUCCUUAUUCUCCAAGCUUUGUUCAUUAUCUGCUUCCUGAGAUUUGUCCAUAUUUUUACUUGCUUCUUCCUGAUCUUCAACAGAAGUUUUGACAAUGUCAUUCGCUUGUACUAUCUCUUGCUCGGUACUUGCAUGAUCCUAGCUAAAAUCAUUUAUUGUUUCCACUGGUUUGCUACUAUCAGUUGGAAUUGCGCCAGACACUUCUAACAAAAUACAUGCAUAUAGAUAGACAGAUAAAAUAUGAAACAACCAAUUAGGUAUUAUCAUACUAUAUUGUAAUAAGUAAUUUUAAAAAUAAAACGAUGUGUUCAUAUAUUAUUUAGAAGUAUGUUUGAGUAUACAAAAAUAAAUAUUACAUACAAAAUAUGCUAUGUUUAAAGCAGUGAACCAAACUUGCAAAGGAAAAUCUUAGUAACUUAGUUUGGUUGGUUAUCUGAACUUCCACCUUAGCUAGUUGGAGAGGAUUCGAGUCCAGACAUUGUAAUCCUCUCCCCCAUUUCCCCUUCCCCACCCUCAUUUUUUUAGAAAAAGAAAAAAUAAACUUGCUAAAGAUAGUUGAGAGGAAAUCACAAAAUCUUGAACCAGAUGAUUUUGAUUAUUAAUGUAAAGUCAUACUUUCAAGUCACACAAACCAUAGAAGUUGAAGGAUCAAACACAUGCCUUUACAAAUAUACGAUAACCAUGUCAUUUAGAUAAAAAUAAUAAAAAAUUUGUGCUUCAUAAUUUAUAAUAUAAAGAUCAUAAGGACUUCAAAAAUCUAAAGAAAUGAGUAUCAUUAUUAAUAUUAGAGUAGAAUAAAACCACUUAAAUCAAAUAGAUAAAGACUAACAAAGCUUACAUUGCAUAAAUUUCUUGUUUUAGUAAGAUAUUCUCUAUCGCAAAAGGUAACCUUAAAGUUGAUUUAAUUAACUGAUGGACAAACAACCUCGUCCAUUCUGAUUGGUUCAGUACGCUGGCGCCUCACCAACCUCUGACGAGACAGCUUUCUAGCUGUAUGGCAAAUUGCCCUAGACGAGAACACUCUGCAGAGGACCGGGUCCCUACAUUUGUGAAGAUCAUCAAAACAUCUGGAACAGUAAGACUUAUCAUUUGAACUGCUCCUUGUUUGCUGUUUCAACAUGUAUCAUCUGGUGAUAAUAUCUCGUUAUUUUUAAUCAUCUCCUUCCAAAAUUUCUUGAAAUUGAUAAUGAGCCUUGAUGAUAACAAUAUCUCUUCAUGUUUCAUUUGUACUUUUUCAUCUGCUAAUCACACUUAACAGUAAAUAUCCCAGUACUAAACUAUUGUAUGCAUAUAACAAAACCACAUAAUAUGCAUAAAUUCAAGUAUAAUGAUAACAAUAUAUCAGGUUAUUUUUUAAAAACAGUGAAAUUCAACUGAUUUAGGGGGUUAGAAAAGAACAUUGUAAUUAGAUUUACCUAUCUUUCAAUCGCUAGAUAAAAAGAAUCCACCUCAAUCACAACUAUGUGAUAUAGGAUGUGCAUUAAUUAAUGAAUAAUGGAGGAAUAUUAAUUUAUUUAUCUUAUGUGGUUAUCUUCAUGCAUUAGGGGGAAAUGGAAGAGUUAAUAAAUAUAAAUGUGAUUGUCCUUUUGUAUUCAUACCAUGAAUGUGCAGUAACUUUUAAGAAUCACUUGUAUAGUAAAUAUUGUCCUUUUGUAGUCAUACCAUGAAUGUGCAGUAGCUUUUAUGAAUCACUUGUAUAGUAAAUUUACAUUUGUGUACAAUAAUGUUAAGAAAUUAUUGGCGGACUUAAGGCAAAGUAUAUAUUAUAAUUAAUGUGUGUGUAUAUAUAUAUUGUCCAUAAAUAUAUAAUAAUAGUAUUUAAAGAAAAUGAUCGUAUUUAUUAUAAUUAUUAAUGUGUAUUCACAUUUUUGUCCAUACUAUUAUGACUUUAUAGGGACAUUUUCGUAAUCAACUUUUAACUUGGAAGCUUUCCACUUAUAAUAUAAUAUACGAUAUAUGAUAUAUAAUGAUUUACUGAGUUACCCUAAGAGAUUAUUGGAGAGGCUAGCAAAUGAGAUAUGUAGAUAUGGUAACUAUACACUUUCUAUUUUGAUGAUAAUUGGUUAGAGUUCGAUGUGAGCUUAGAGAUAAGUGAUUAUGAGUGUGGUUGGAUCAGGCACCAUCUCGGUGCGGUACAUGGACACCUAGGGUUCCAUGCAGGUCGUGACUAGAUGGAAAAGAUUAAGACCCUUUAGCAUGUGUAUACAACUGAGACAAACUUGUGAUUUUGUUGAGUGAGUGCUAGAGAAACUCGCUAGACGUAGGAUUUAUACAGUUGUGAUAACUCAAGCAGUUUUGAUGAAAGACAUUAUGAACCUGGUUCUCGUCAAUGAACAUAGAACUUACACUCAAAAAGACGGGACACAGACUUUACUUACGCCGACAUCAAAAAGAAGAGGUUGUUAUUAAAAGAAAAUCAAGUUGCAAAAGGAAAUAAUAAAAGAAGAAGUUUUGUACAAAGAAGGAAGAAGGAUUCAAAUUUAAGGAAAUCUCUAACUCUUUUCCUGGUACAACUAUAACUUCUCUUUUUAUACAAAUUAGACUUGAAGCAAAUUCAGACUCUAUAAAAGGACAGCGGAGAACAAAGAAGAAGUCGUCUUUGGCAAUUGAGAAAAGACAGAAAAAGUGAGAGAGAGAAUCAUAACGAAGGCCAAAGAGUUCGUGAAGUAGAGAACAAAAGAAUUCUAGAGUUAGGAUUUCUUUCAAAAUAGUUGAGUCGCAUUGAUUCAUAGUUGAAUCAAUGUUUGUGAGAGUUUUGAGAGAGUUUGUGAGAAUUGUAAACAAGAAGUGGGUUUGACUUUUUGGGGUUAGAAUUAAGAGAGAGUCUUUGAGAGUUUUGUUGUAACAAGAAGCGAGUUUGACUUCUUGGAGAGUUCAGGGUUGUUUGAUUAGAGUUAAUCGGAAAGGAUAGAAGUUUAGAGUUAGAUUCAUUGAUUAACUGAGUUGUAAAUCUUGAAUUAAUAUAAAACUUCGAUGUGGUUUUUCUCUUCCUAGAGUUAGGAAGGUUUCCACGAUACAUUGGUGUUAUUGUUCUUUAAACAUAAAGUAUCGUGUGUAAUAUUCAAGAACCUGGUUCUUGAAUACUGGGUAAGGUUUAUUCAAUUGGUAUCAGAGCAGGUCUUUUCGUUAAAAGACUCACAUCUUGAAAAGAAUCAAUGGCAGCACCAUCUACCCCGCAAGAAGGAGCUUCUCAAACUCGACCACCACUAUUCAAUGGAAAGUACUAUGGAGGGUGGAAAAAUUGUAUGAUGGAUUAAUUGAUGGGCAAAAAUCUCAAUCUUUAGAGCGUAGUCCUGGAUGGACCUACCAUACCCAUGAAGAAAGGAGACGAUGGAAUCACCCUAGUACCAAUGGAAAGGAAAGAAUGGGAUGUUGCAAACAAACUCGCCAUUCAAAAUAACGCCAAAGCUAAAAAAAAUCCUAAUAUGCGGUAUAGGACCAGAUGAGUACAAUAGAAUUUCAUCAUGCGAGGAUGCAAAGUUGAUUUUGGGAAACUAUAUAGACUACACACGAAGGAACAACUCAGGUUAAGAAAUCUAAAAUCGACAAUAUGAACUGUUCAGAAUGAUGGAAGGAGAAACAAUUCAAGAUAUGCAUACCAAGUUCACUGCAAUCAUUAAUGAGAUUUACUCGUUAGGAGAAGUAAUUCCAAAUGGAAAAGCUGUUAGAAAACUCUUAAGUGUUCUACCAUCAUCGUGGGAAAUUAAAGUGGAAGUCGUCACUGAAGUACGUGAUCUAGAUAAACUGUCCAUGGAUGAGCUUAUUGGAGAUUUCAUGACAUAUGAACUAAAGAAGAAUCAAGAAAAAAAAUUGGCAGUAAAAGAAUGGAGAAAAAGUUGGUUCUGAAAGCCACAACACCUCAAGAUUUUGAGGAUAAGAAUAUUGCACUUAUGACAAAGAGGUUCUCCAAAAUGUUAAAAAGAGGACAAAUAUUUCAAAGAAGAAGUCCUCAAAAGGCAGCUGAAAAUUUGAGAGAGCAACUAUGCCAUAAAUGUGGAAGUCCAGAUCAUUUAAUUAAAUUAUGUCCACUCUGGUCCUUAGAACAUAAAAAGAAUAACUCGGACAAAACAAAAGGAUGUUAAGGGUGACAAAUAUUCCUACCAACAGGAGGAUGACUAACCAAGAGGUUGAUCUCUCAAUGAAUAAAGCAUUUGCUACACUGGGAGGCAUGUCAGAAGAUGAGUCUGAAGAUGAGGAAAUUGAAAAUCAAUCCCUACUUGCAAUCGAGCAAACUGACAAAUAUGACUUCCUUGCACUAGUAGCCAUAGUUGAACCAGAGGAAAAGGAAAAUAGUUGUCAGAGACAAUUCAGGCAUUGAUGGCUGGGUCAGACUCUAAAGAAAAAGAAGAGGACAAGCAGGAUCAGGUUAGUCAGCAUCACAUUAAAGAAAAUCUUGACUCUUACUCAAAAAGAAAACUAGAAUCUCUGUUACAUACUCUCAUAAAUGCAUACCAAUCAACCUGUUCCGAAAGAGAUCUGUUAAUGGAUGACUAUGCAUCAUUAAGAGAUGAAAAUGAGAUCUUAGAACAACAAAACCGUCUUUUUCACAAGAAGCUAAAAGAGUUGAACAAAGAAUUUCAAUCCAUAACCGUAAAAAAUGAACUUCUCCGGAAGAAACUUCACAUGACCAAAAUGGAAGCAGAGCACAGCAUGAGAUGGACCAGAUCCUCCAUACUACUCGAUAGCAUCCAAAAGGGUCAAUCUUCCACAAGACAUAGAAUAGGUUUUUCUGAAACAGAGAGGAUUUGAAAAAAAUCAAGUUGGUGACAGAAAUGGGCAGUCGGCGAAUCGCCGAUCGGUUCACGAUACCAAACUGGAUCGCCCAAAGUUACAGGACUUGGGAUGCUAAGAACCAAUGCAAAAUGGCGAUGGAAGAGAGCAAACGGUGGAUCUCUGAACCACUCGGCGAGGCACGACUUAUUCCGCCGAGUGGACUUUUAGGCCAAAACGCAGGCAACUAUAAAUUGGAUUUUAAAUGAAGUUCUCAGGAUUUUUUAGUUUUUGGAUCCCCAAGUUUUAGAAUUAGAGUUUUCUCUUAGUUUUUCAAUUGUUAUUAUAGACUUUGAGGAUUUAUAAGCUUAAUUUUGAGGAUUUGAAAGUGGGCCUUUGAAUUUAACCCUUGGAAAACAUUGUAAAGGCUUGGAGACUCUUACUCAGCUGAUAGCUAAUCGAGUUGGUAAUUGUUUUUACCUUUUUAUGAUGUUUAGCUAAAACCUCAAUUCUUUGGGUGUGAUCAUGUGAUUAUGGGAUGAAUAAGCUUAUGGGUAUUGUUAAUUACUAAUUUAAAUGCUUAGUUGAAGUGGGUUUAAUUGAUAGUUGUGUUUUAAACUAAGAAUUGUAGUUGCAAAUGCAAUUCGAACUUAGAAUUCUAUGCUUGCUUGAAAAAGAGGUUUUAGAAUCAAGGUUUUCAAUUGAUGAUUGUAGUUAUUGGGUUGAUAUAGGUUUAGCUCGAAAGAGUAAAUUCUAAAUCUGAUUCUACCCAUCUAGCUCGAGAGAGUGGAUGAAUUAAGGUGUGGGUUGUUCUUAUUUGCUAAGCUUGUUGAUGUUCGAAAGAAAUCACCUUAUUCCUAAUAGUUGUUCGAGAGAAAGCUAUUGCAUCUAUAGUUUAGCCUAUCCGCUGAUAUUUAGCUAUUUAUUAGUAAUUUCAAUUACCCAUACGUGAAAAUUGCUUAUAAUCGAUCACAUCGCAAAAAUCCUUCUCUAAAUUGUUAUUUCCUUAGUGCUUGAUUGCGUUGUAGCUGUUGGUUUUGGAGAGUUUUAAUAUUAUAAAAUUAUAGUUAAGAUGCACAUUCCAUUUCCAGAACGUUAGUCUCUUUAUUAUUAUCCUUGGAAUCAUUGAAUUGUGAGGCUUAAUUACAUUGAUUCUGCCGUUUCUGACAUUUUCAUUUGGUGCACAUUAUUGUGCCAUUGUACAACUCUUCAUUCUGCCCGUUAGUGGCAUUGGAUGCACUCACAUUACUUAACUCAUUAUCCUCAAUUAUACCUUGUAACAUAUGUAACUCCUAAGGCUAUUACACUAUUUACUACACCAUUUAUCUUCCUAUUCAUUGCUAGGAAGACUUCUUCUAGUAUAAAUAGGGGUGGUCAUCAUUUGAUCUGUUACACACAACACACAAGAAAAAUAUAGAGAGGAAAAAGUUAGUCAAAAAAGAGAGUUCUUAUUAGUUGAAGGGAGGUAUUCUUUUUGUGGAGCUUUGGAUUCAACUCUUGUCUAGAGUUAUUGAGUUAUACUUUGUGUUAAGGUUGUUGUAUCCUGGAGGGGACAAGUCAAGAAGGACUACUGCUGGACCGGUGAAAACAUUUGCUGCAGUGGGUUUGAAUCUCCUUAAAGAGAGCGAGAUAUCCGCGCCUCAGCCGGAAGAGAUUUUUAUUUCUUCAUUUCAUUUUCAAUUGUAAUGUUGUUAUUUUGUUAUCUUGUAAGUAUUUCACUAACAGUAGCUCAUAAUUGCAAAUCCAAACCCCCCAUAUGACAUUUGUUGUCACCCCUUUAGAUUUGUUUGUUUGUAUGUUUUCGAUAAUUUCUAUUCCUAUAACUGAUUAGACCACGUUUGCACUUCAUAAUUGAAUUUGAACAUGUACUGCUCCCUGUGGGUUUGACCCAACCUUUCAUUGGGUUUUAUACUAGUUAACGAUCGUUUACCCCUA